CGUAGGGUGCGAGCGUUGUCCGGAAUUACUGGGCGUAAAGAGCUCGUAGGCGGUUUGUCGCGUCGUCCGUGAAAACUCGGAGCUUAACUCCGAGCUUGCGGGCGAUACGGGCAGACUUGAGUACUACAGGGGAGACUGGAAUUCCUGGUGUAGCGGUGAAAUGCGCAGAUAUCAGGAGGAACACCGGUGGCGAAGGCGGGUCUCUGGGUAGUAACUGACGCUGAGGAGCGAAAAGCAUGGGUAGCGAACAGGAUU
rnacentral:rRNA from 1 species